rnacentral:rRNA from 1 species
CAUGAAGCUGGAAUCGCUAGUAAUCGCAGAUCAGAAUGCUGCGGUGAAUACGUUCCCGGGUCUUGUACACACCGCCCGUCACACCAUGGGAGUUGGGAAUGCCCGAAGUCAGUGACCCAACCGCAAGGAGGGAGCUGCCGAAGGCAGGCUUGAUAACUGGGGUGAAGUCGUAACAAGGUAGC